CACGUAGGGUGCGAGCGUUGUCCGGAAUUAUUGGGCGUAAAGAGCGUGUAGGCGGCCAGGUAGGUCCGUUGUGAAAACUGGAGGCUUAACCUCCAGCUGUCGAUGGAAACCAUCUGGCUAGAGUCCGGAAGAGGAGAGUGGAAUUCCUGGUGUAGCGGUGAAAUGCGCAGAUAUCAGGAAGAACACCCGUGGCGAAGGCGGCUCUCUGGGACGGUACUGACGCUGAGACGCGAAAGCGUGGGGAGCGAACAGG
rnacentral:rRNA from 1 species